GACGAACGCUGGCUGCGUGCUUAACACAUGCAAGUCGAACGCUGAAGCCUGGUGCUUGCACCGGGUGGAUGAGUGGCGAACGGGUGAGUAACACGUGAGUAACCUGCCCCUGACUUCGGGAUAAGCCCGGGAAACUGGGUCUAAUACCGGAUACGACCGUCGGACGCAUGUCUGGUGGUGGAAAGUUUUUUCGGUUGGGGAUGGGCUCGCGGCCUAUCAGUUUGUUGGGGAGGUAAUGGCUCACCAAGACGACGACGGGUAGCCGGCCUGGGAGUGCGACCGGCCGCACUGGGACUGAGACACGGCCCAGACUCCUACGGGAGGCAGCAGUGGGGAAUAUUGCACAAUGGGGGAAACCCUGAUGCAGCGACGCAGCGUGCGGGAUGACGGCCUUCGGGUUGUCAACCGCUUUCAGCAGGGAAGAAGCGAAAGUGACGGUACCUGCAGAAGAAGUACCGGCUAACUACGUGCCAGCCGCCGCGGUAACAC
rnacentral:rRNA from 1 species